ACAGUCAUGCAAUUACAAACCGAAUCCUCAUCAUUGUGUUGGAAGGUACCCUAAGGCACAAAUAAGCACACAAAAACAACUCUUUUUGGGAUUUUCAAAAACAAUUUUUCAAUUUUUUAUGAAUUUUCGGAUUUUUAUGUCAAAACACACUGAAACACUCCAAAACAGCUUAAAAAUACUUAAAACAACAAGGAACAACACUAGAAGUAAUGGGUGAUAAAUUUCUACGAAUUUCAUGCAAAACAAUAACAAUGGUUACCCCCCCACACUUAAAUCAAACAUUGUCCUCAAUGUUUCAAGCAUAUAC
rnacentral:lncRNA from 1 species